rnacentral:lncRNA from 1 species
AACUACUAGACCUAGGCUCUGAUACCACUUGAAGGAUGAUUUUGUGAAAAACAUGUUCAUUUAAGCAACAUCUAUAAGCAUGCAAUUAACAAUUAAAGGCGGAAUCAUGCUUGCAUGCACUUAAAAAAAAAACAUUAACCAUGAAAUUCAAACCCUAGUAGAUUGGUGAACCAAGACUCAACUCAAAUCAAAGUGAGUUGAGAAAUUAUACCUUUGUAGAUUCCUCUUUGCAUAAGCAAAGGCUAAUCACCCAAAGAGAGGACCUUCAUUCCUUGCAUCUUAGAUCUAUGGAUUUGGAUAGAUGAAAUGGUUCUCCAAGUUUUCAAAAUAGAGAACCUCUAAGUCUCCACACCAAGGUUAGAUUUAAGUAGAAAUGAGUGACCUUGGAGUAGUAGGAUUGCUAGCUAAUCCCUCCAAAGGGGGCCGGCCUCUUUAGAGAGAAAGGAGAGCUUUGUAUUAUCUCCAAUUUCCUAAAAGAAAAACCCUAAAUGAAUUUUGGCUAUAAAGUCAUAUUUAUACCUUAAUUCAUUGGAGUGGCAAACUUGUAAAUAAGUCCAAAACCCACUCCAUCUCUAAAUGGCCGGCCAAAGGGUUUCAUUGGGCUUUUAAGGCCUUUGUGAAUUAUUUGUCAUUAAGUUGUCAUACAACUUAAGUCAAUG